rnacentral:rRNA from 1 species
UACGAAGGGGGCUAGCGUUGCUCGGAAUUACUGGGCGUAAAGGGUGCGUAGGCGGGUCUUUAAGUCGGAGGUGAAAUCCUGGAGCUCAACUCCAGAACUGCCUUUGAUACUGAGGAUCUUGAGUUCGGGAGAGGUGAGUGGAACUGCGAGUGUAGAGGUGAAAUUCGUAGAUAUUCGCAAGAACACCAGUGGCGAAGGCGGCUCACUGGCCCGAUACUGACGCUGAGGCACGAAAGCGUGGGGAGCAAACAGG